rnacentral:rRNA from 1 species
GACGAACGCUGGCGGCGUGCCUAAUACAUGCAAGUUGAGCGCUGAAGGUUGGUACUUGUCCCAACUGGAUGAGCAGCGGACGGGUGAGUAACGCGUGGGUAACCUGCCUUUGAGCGGGGGACAACAUUUGGAAACGAAUGCUAAUACCGCAUAAUAAAUUUAAACACAAGUUUCAAGUUUGAAAGAUGCAAUUGCAUCACUCAAAGAUGAUCCCGCGUUGUAUUAGCUAGUUGGGGAGGUAAAGGCCCACCCAUGCGAUGAUACAUAGCCGACCUGAGAGGGUGAUUCGCCACCAUGGGACGUAGACAACGCCCCAACCUCUACGGGAGGGAGCAGGAGGGGAACGUCGGCCAUUGAGGAAAGUCUUACCGAGCAACGCCGGGGUGGGUGAUGAGGGUUUCGGAUCGGAAAACUCGUUUGGUAGAGAAGAACGGUGGGGAGAGUUGAAAGCUCAUCAAGUGACGGUAACUAACCAGAAAGGGACGGCUAACUACGUG